rnacentral:rRNA from 1 species
GAUGAACGCUAGCGGCAGGCCUAAUACAUGCAAGUCGAACGGUGUCUUCGGACAUAGUGGCGCACGGGUGCGUAACACGUACGCAACCUACCUUACAUUGGGGGAUAGCCUUUCGAAAGGGAGAUUAAUACCGCAUAAGACAGUAGCUGGACAUCCAGCAGCUGUUAAAGAUUUAUUGAUGUAAGCUGGGCAUGCGUCCAAUUAGCUAGUUGGUGAGGUAACGGCUCACCAAGGCCAUGAAUGGUAGGGGAACUGAGAGGUCAAUCCCCCACACUGGCACUGUGAUACGGGCCAGUCUCCUACGGGAGGCAGCAGUAGGGAAUAUUGGGCAAUGGACGCAAGUCUGACCCAGCCAUGCCGCGUGCAGGAUGAAGGCGUUAUGCGUUGUAAACUGCUUUUAUACAGGAAGAAACGACUCUUGCGAGAGGCAUUGACGGUACUGUAUGAAUAAGCACCGGCUAACUCCGUGCCAGCCGCCGCAGUAAAAC